rnacentral:lncRNA from 1 species
GCGCUGCCUUUUGAAGGACUGCACAUGCUGGUGAACUUGACCAGAAUGCAUGCACAUUCAGGCGCUUCUCCUUUAGGGGUGAAAGUGGACCAGAGAUGUGUAAUAUGCAUGUUCUCCAGUUUCCAUGUUGCUGGUAAGCUCAAGGAGAUGAUUUUUGCAAAGCUGUGAUUUAGUAAAGAAGUAAAAACCCUUGACGCUUAUUUAACCAUUAAGGCAACUUCAUUAGAUCAACUUCACCAUUCCUCAACACAACACUGAGGUGGACAAGUCUCUAGAACUGCUGGCAUGGACAUUGGUGAAGUCACCAGGCCAACAGUGGAAGCCAAUACAUUUGUGUCCUUGGUUGACCAUCACGAAAUGGAGCAAGAACUGAGACAUGACUUGACCUGUAGCUCUUUCGACAUAUUGUUCUCAGUUACAUUUAAUAAAAGAACACCUCAUUGAUUAUGCCAUCUACUUCAGUGCACUGGGGGAUGUUGACUGAUACAGAUUGGACCUCGCUUCAACACCCCUCCACCAAUCUGAUUUGAUGCGACUGCUGGUUCUGCAUUACUUGUGUGGGCAAUCCAUCCACAAAGGAUGAUCACAAUUGUUUGACUUAUUUCAAUUGCUGUAAUGCAGAAGUGUCCAAGCUCUAUCCUGGAGGGUCGGUGUCCUGCAGAAUUUAGCUCUAACCCUAUUCAAACACCUGAACCAGCUAAUUGGUAUCUUACUAGAUAUUUCCUAGCAGGUGUUGGAGCUAAACUCAGCAGGACUCCUGUACUGAGGACACCUAUGCUGUAAUGAGUCUCAACUCCAUUCCUGGAGGGCUGCUAUGUUGCACAGUUUUGCUCCAACGCUGAUCUCAUUACACCUUGAUGUGUUUGAUUUAAAGUUGGAGCAAAACUGUGCAGUGCUGCAGCCCUCCAGGAAUGGAGUUUGAGAUUUGUGCUGUAAUAAAGCAUCUUGUAUGGGUUUUUUUUUCUCAACUGUUUUCAAACUAAAUAUCCAAUCUUAAAUUUCACAUGUUAAAGUUAAACAAAAUCAAUACUGAACAUUAUAAAACAAUUUUUUUUUUUUUAAAAUACAAUUGACUAAAGGUGAUUAAAUUACAUUUAAAUUACAUUACACUUCUAAUUACAACAGUAAAGAAAUAAAUUUUAACUCUGCAUUUAAAAAUACUUUUAACAAAUCUAUUUAGAACUUAGUAUUUAUAACUUUUCUUUUAAACUUUUAAACUGAAAAUAACUUUUCCCCUCUCUAAUAAACCAGAAAUUUCUACAAGCGAUAUGAAUCAAUAU